ACACCUUCAACCAAGGAGGUGGAAACUCGGCAAAGUUAUUCCAGUCCCCGUCGGUUCCAUCUGUCAAACCUGCUGUUUCUGCAAAUGCAAAGUUUUUUAUUCCUACACCUCUGCCAUCAAGUGAAAGUUCAACAGAAACUGUAGCAGAAAACGUGCAAGAAAGCACUGGAUUUGCUGAAUAUCCUUCAACAUCUACUAAUGACUCUUCCCAAUCUCCCUCAUCUUUUUCAAAAAUGAAUAUGCAAAGAUUCCCAAGCAUGGAUA
rnacentral:misc_RNA from 1 species